rnacentral:lncRNA from 1 species
GCGCACAAAUGGAUAAGGCUAGGUGGUGCAUGGAUUAGUUGCCCAUUCAAAUUCAAACUUCAUCUGAAUUUGAAUGGCCAACCAACCAUAUUUAUCCACCCAAAUGGUGCACAAAUGGAGGGGUGUGGAAGGCUUCUUCAUGGGAAAAAAUUCAUGAGAAGUUGUUUCUCGUGAAUUCAAAUGGGCGCAGAUGAGUGAGGUGGCACAGUGAG